rnacentral:rRNA from 1 species
GACGAACGCUGGCGGCGUGCCUAAUGCAUGCAAGUCGAACGCAUUCUUCGGAAUGAGUGGCGCACGGCUGAGGAACACGUGACUAACCUACCCCGGUGUGGGGGAUAACGGGUCGAAAGACUCGCUAAUCCCGCAUACGAUCCGCCUCGGCGGAGGAAAGCGGUAACGCGCACUGGGCGGGGGUCGCGUCCCAUUAGAUGGUUGGUGUGGUAAUGGCGCACCAAGUCGAUGAUGGGUCUCUGGUCUGAGAGGACGACCAGACAGAUUGGGACGGAGAAACGGCCCAAACUCCUACGGGGGGCAGCAGCAAGGAAUUUUCGGCAAUGGGCGCAAGCCUGACCGAGCAACGCCGCGUGGAGGAUGACGGCUCUUGGGUUGUAAACUCCUUUUGGGGGGGACGAUAAUGACGGUACCCUCCGAAUCAGGCCCGGCUAACUACGUGCCAGCCGCCGCCGUAAUAC